AGGCGAUCCUUAGAUUUUGGGAGUAUGAAGAAGAAGGCAGCGUCAAUUGCUUAUAAUGGUGAUGAUAAGCCAGGCUUCCUUAAGAAGACAGACAAAAUCUAAGGUUAGAUCAUCCCAAUUUUGCAAUUAAUGGUGCGGGAACUAAAUUCCUACCACCAUUCAAAGGUUGUUGUGUUAUUUUACCAAGAAUAUCUGUUUUUUCCUAUUGCACUUUUUAAGAAAGUUUCUUGAAGCUAAUUGAGUAAACUUGUGGUGGAAGCCAGAUUUGACGGGAACUCUAAAUUGAUUGCGUUACCGUUAAUGGAUUUAAAGUUACUUAUGCAAUUAAGGAUGGUUCGAAAGGACCGAGAGGAUGGAAGAGUAAUGGUCUUCCUUGGUUAACACCAAAGAAGACAUUGAGUUUGGAUAAUCUAACGCAUGCUAUAUCUGAAGUAAUUAGAGAGACUGGCUCUGCACUGGUUAUUCUUGUUGUUGUUAUGCUCUUUCUUGCAAUUGUUGGAUUCUGUACGUUUCUUUUAUCCUGUUUUAAUACUUGUUUCUUCUGUCUCUAAGAUAAGGAUUUUUGUCGUCUCAUGUGAUUGUUUUUGUAGUCACAACUUUCUGAGUAUUAUCAAUAUUUGGUUUGGAAGUUCUUGUAUACUUGUAAGUUAAACUAGCUGAGCAUUUUUCUAAUCUUUUUUUAUUUUUUGACUUUGUAAUUCUCAAUCGUUACUUUUGGAAUAAGUAUUUAAUUAUAGUAAUUAAA